UACAGAGGUCUCAAGCGUUGUUCGGAUUCAUUGGGCGUAAAGGGUGCGUAGGCGGCGCGGUAAGUCGGGUGUGAAAUCUCGGAGCUUAACUCCGAAACUGCAUUCGAUACUGCCGCGCUUGAGGACUGGAGAGGAGACUGGAAUUUACGGUGUAGCGGUGAAAUGCGUAGAUAUCGUAAGGAAGACCAGUGGCGAAGGCGGGUCUCUGGGCAGUGCCUGACGCUGAGGCACGAAGGCCAGGGGAGCAAACGGG
rnacentral:rRNA from 1 species